rnacentral:rRNA from 1 species
GAUGAACGCUGGCGGCAUGCUUAACACAGGCAAGCCGGACGGGAAACACGGGAGACGUUGUUUGCAGUGGCGGACGGGUGAGUAACGCGUAAGAACCUGCCCCUGGGAGGGGAACAACAGCUGGAAACGGCCGCCAAUAUCCCGUGGGCCGGGGAGCGAAAGGGGGAACCCGUCUGAGGAGGGCCCCGCGUCUGAUUAGCUAGUUGGCGAGGCAAUAGCUUACCAAGGCGAUGAUCAGUAGCUGGUCCGAGAGGAUGUUCAGCCACACUGGGACUGAGACACGGCCCAGACUCCUGCGGGAGGCAGCAGUGGGGAAUUUUCCGCACUGGGCGACAGCCUGACGGAGCAAUGCCGCGGGGGGGUAGAAGGCCCACGGGUCGUGAACUUCUUUGCCCGGAGAAGAAGCAAUGACGGUACCUGGGGAAUGAGCAUCGGCUAACUCUGUG